GAGUUUGAUCAUGGCUCAGGACGAACGCUGGCGGCGUGCUUAACACAUGCAAGUCGAACGCUGAAGCCUAGCUUGCUGGGUGGAUGAGUGGCGAACGGGUGAGUAACACGUGAGUAACCUGCCCCCUUCUUUGGGAUAACGCCCGGAAACGGGUGCUAAUACUGGAUAUUCACUGAUCUUCGCAUGGGGGUUGGUGGAAAGGUUUUUUCUGGUGGGGGAUGGGCUCGCGGCCUAUCAGCUUGUUGGUGGGGUGAUGGCCUACCAAGGCUUUGACGGGUAGCCGGCCUGAGAGGGUGACCGGUCACAUUGGGACUGAGAUACGGCCCAGACUCCUACGGGAGGCAGCAGUGGGGAAUAUUGCACAAUGGGCGAAAGCCUGAUGCAGCGACGCCGCGUGAGGGAUGGAGGCCUUCGGGUUGUAAACCUCUUUCGCUCAUGGUCAAGCCGCAACACUGGUUGUGGUGAGGGUAGUGGGUAAAGAAGCACCGGCUAACUACGUGCCAGCAGCCGCGGUAAUACGUAGGGUGCGAGCGUUAAUCGGAAUUACUGGGCGUAAAGCGAGCGCAGACGGUUACUUAAGCAGGAUGUGAAAUCCCCAGGCUCAACCUGGGAACUGCGUUCUGAACUGGGUGACUAGAGUGUGUCAGAGGGAGGUAGAAUUCCACGUGUAGCAGUGAAAUGCGUAGAGAUGUGGAGGAAUACCGAUGGCGAAGGCAGCCUCCUGGGAUAACACUGACGUUCAUGCUCGAAAGCGUGGGUAGCAAACAGGAUUAGAUACCCUGGUAGUCCACGCCCUAAACGAUGUCAAUUAGCUGUUGGGCAACUUGAUUGCUUAGUAGCGUAGCUAACGCGUGAAAUUGACCGCCUGGGGAGUACGGUCGCAAGAUUAAAACUCAAAGGAAUUGACGGGGACCCGCACAAGCGGUGGAUGAUGUGGAUUAAUUCGAUGCAACGCGAAGAACCUUACCUGGUCUUGACAUGUACGGAAUCCUCCAGAGACGGAGGAGUGCCUUCGGGAGCCGUAACACAGGUGCUGCAUGGCUGUCGUCAGCUCGUGUCGUGAGAUGUUGGGUUAAGUCCCGCAACGAGCGCAACCCUUGUCAUUAGUUGCCAUCAUUUAGUUGGGCACUCUAAUGAGACUGCCGGUGACAAGCCGGAGGAAGGUGGGGAUGACGUCAAGUCCUCAUGGCCCUUAUGACCAGGGCUUCACACGUCAUACAAUGGUCGGUACAGAGGGUAGCCAAGCCGCGAGGUGGAGCCAAUCUCACAAAACCGAUCGUAGUCCGGAUUGCACUCUGCAACUCGAGUGCAUGAAGUCGGAAUCGCUAGUAAUCGCAGGUCAGCAUACUGCGGUGAAUACGUUCCCGGGUCUUGUACACACCGCCCGUC
rnacentral:rRNA from 1 species